GUGUCAGCAGCCGCGGUAACACGGGGGAUGCGAGCGUUAUCCGGAUUUAUUGGGUUUAAAGGGCGCGUAGGCGGGAUGCCAAGUCAGCGGUAAAAGACUGCAGCUAAACUGUAGCACGCCGUUGAAACUGGUGACCUAGAGAGAAGUCGAGGGAGGCGGAACAAGUGAAGUAGCGGUGAAAUGCUUAGAUAUCACUUGGAACCCCGAUAGCGAAGGCAGCUUCCCAGUCUUUGUCUGACGCUGAUGCGCGAGAGCGUGGGUAGCGAACAGGAUUAGAUACCCUGGUAGUCCACGCCGUAAACGAUGCUCACUGGAUCUUGGCGAUACACGGCCAGGGUUCAAGCGAAAGUAUUAAGUGAGCCACCUGGGGAGUACGUCGGCAACGAUGAA
rnacentral:rRNA from 1 species